rnacentral:rRNA from 1 species
AGAGUUUGAUCCUGGCUCAGGAUGAACGCUAGCUACAGGCUUAACACAUGCAAGUCGAGGGGCAGCAUGGUCUUAGCUUGCUAAGGCUGAUGGCGACCGGCGCACGGGUGAGUAACACGUAUCCAACCUGCCGUCUACUCUUGGCCAGCCUUCUGAAAGGAAGAUUAAUCCAGGAUGGGAUCAUGAGUUCACAUGUCCGCAUGAUUAAAGGUAUUUUCCGGUAGACGAUGGGGAUGCGUUCCAUUAGAUAGUAGGCGGGGUAACGGCCCACCUAGUCAACGAUGGAUAGGGGUUCUGAGAGGAAGGUCCCCCACAUUGGAACUGAGACACGGUCCAAACUCCUACGGGAGGCAGCAGUGAGGAAUAUUGGUCAAUGGGCGAUGGCCUGAACCAGCCAAGUAGCGUGAAGGAUGACUGCCCUAUGGGUUGUAAACUUCUUUUAUAAAGGAAUAAAGUCGGGUAUGCAUACCCGUUUGCAUGUACUUUAUGAAUAAGGAUCGGCUAACUCCGUGCCAGCAGCCGCGGUAAUACGGAGGAUCCGAGCGUUAUCCGGAUUUAUUGGGUUUAAAGGGAGCGUAGAUGGAUGUUUAAGUCAGUUGUGAAAGUUUGCGGCUCAACCGUAAAAUUGCAGUUGAUACUGGAUAUCUUGAGUGCAGUUGAGGCAGGCGGAAUUCGUGGUGUAGCGGUGAAAUGCUUAGAUAUCACGAAGAACUCCGAUUGCGAAGGCAGCCUGCUAAGCUGCAACUGACAUUGAGGCUCGAAAGUGUGGGUAUCAAACAGGAUUAGAUACCCUGGUAGUCCACACGGUAAACGA